AUUGAACGCUGGCGGCAUGCCUAACACAUGCAAGUCGAACGAUUGGCGGACGUGUGUGUAAUGUCUGGGAAACUGCUCGAUGGAGGGGGAUAACUACUGGAAACGGUAGCUAAUACCGCAUAACAUCGCAUGUGCCCAGAUGUGAUUAGCUAGUAGGUGGGGUAACGUCUCACCUAGGCGACGAUCCGUAACUGGUCUGAGAGGAUGAGCGGCCACACUGGAACGGAGAAACGUUCACGACUCCUACGGGAGGCAGCAGUGGGGAAUAUGUGACAAUGGGCGAAAGCCUGAUGCAGCAAUGCCGCGGGUGUGAUGAAGGUCUUCGGAUUUUAAAGCACUUUCAGUUGGGAGGCGUUACUCGCAGAAGAAGCACCGGCUAACUCCGUGCCAGCAGCCGCGGUAAUAC
rnacentral:rRNA from 1 species